UAAAGAGUUCUAUAACUCCCAAACCCAUGUGAACAUACCUAACGUUGCCUCGGCAGGUCGCACCUACCUUGUAGCACCCUACCCUGUAGGGCCUACCCGGGAGGUGCGGGUAAGCCUGCCGGCGGCCCACCAAACUCUGUUUGAUAUUGAAUUCUGAACCUAUAACUAAAUAAGUUAAAACUUUCAACAACGGAUCUCUUGGUUCUGGCAUCGAUGAAGAACGCAGCGAAAUGCGAUAAGUAAUGUGAAUUGCAGAAUUCAGUGAAUCAUCGAAUCUUUGAACGCAUAUUGCGCCCAUUAGUAUUCUAGUGGGCAGGACCGUUCGAGCGUCAUUUCAACCCUUAAGCCUUCGUUGCUUAGUGUUGGGAGCCUACGGCAACGUAGCUCCUCAAAGUUAGUGGCGGAGUUGGUUCACACUCUAGACGUAGUAAUUUUUUAUCUCGCCUAUUAGUUGGACUAAUCCCCUGCCGUAAAACCCCCAAUUUAUCAAGGUUGACCUCGAAUCGGUUCAGACAAACUCGCUAAAUUGAAGCAUCUCAGUCAGCGAAGGAAAAGAAACCAACAGGGAUUGCCCUAGUAACGGCGAGUGAAGCGGCAACAGCUCAAAUUU
rnacentral:rRNA from 1 species